rnacentral:rRNA from 1 species
CUGGCUCAGGAUGAACGCUGGCGGCGUGCUUAACACAUGCAAGUCGAACGGAGCCUAGCGAGUGCUUGCACUUGCGAAAGCUUAGUGGCGGACGGGUGAGUAACGCGUGGGUAACCUGCCCUAUACUGGGGGAUAACAGUCGGAAACGACUGCUAAUACCGCAUAAGCCUACGGAACCGCAUGAUUCAGUAGGAAAAACUCCGGUGGUAUAGGAUGGACCCGCGUCUGAUUAGCUAGUUGGUGAGGUAACGGCCCACCAAGGCGACGAUCAGUAGCCGGCCUGAGAGGGUGAACGGCCACAUUGGGACUGAGACACGGCCCAAACUCCUACGGGAGGCAGCAGUGGGGAAUAUUGCACAAUGGGGGAAACCCUGAUGCAGCCGACGCCGCGUGAGUGAUGAAGUAUUUCGGUAUGUAAAGCUCUAUCAGCAGGGAAGAAAAUGACGGUACCUGACUAAGAAGCACCGGCUAAAUACGUGCCAGCAGCCGC